rfam:Ovis aries breed Texel chromosome 7, whole genome shotgun sequence.
UCCCUGAUGGCUCAGACGGUAAAGUGUCUAUCUGCAAUGUGGGAGACCCGGGUUCGAUCCCUGGGUUGGGAG